rnacentral:rRNA from 1 species
AUGAGGCAUCUACUAUCUCCAAUAUUUUACAUCAGUUUUGUUAGCAUUCGGGUCAGCUCCUCAAUUGAAACAAAUCUGCCAUUCUUUUUAGUAAAAAAUGUGUCUUUGCAGGCUAAACAAGAUCUCAAGCAAUUUUUUCAGGUGCCAGACUUGGAUGCCAACAUCAUUCAUCUUGGUCAUCCACUCAUCCUGCCUGCAAAAGAGAGAUCUGCAGCCUACAACUUUGUUUAUGAUAAAUUCAAAUCCAAACUUUCAGCUUACAAGGCGAACAGACUCUCCCAUGUUGCAAGACUCACUCUUAUUAAAUCUGUUUUUGCCUCCAUACCUGUGUAUUAUAUGUCUAAUAUUCUUUUUCCUAAGAAGUUCCUAGGAAAGCUCACUGCGAUUAUAAAAAACUUUUGGUGGACAGGUGUAAGAGAUGAACCUACUACAAAAAGCUUGUGCCUAAGGGCAUGGGCAGACAUUUGCGUUGAGAAGAAAAUUGACGGCUUAGACAUCAGGAACUUGCAGGCAAUCAACCAAGGACUUAUUCUUUCAACGGCAUGGAGGUUGGCAAAAGAACCACAUAGCCAGAUGGCUUUGGUCCUCAAGGCUAAGUAUCACCAUGAAACGUCCAUUUGGAGAGUCAAAGCAAACAAGCCAAAAUCAGCUUUCUAG